rnacentral:rRNA from 1 species
UACGUAGGGACCGAGCGUUGUCCGGAAUCAUUGGGCGUAAAGAGCGUGUAGGCGGCCUUUUAAGUCCUGCGUGAAAUCCUGCGGCUCAACCGCAGACGGUCGUGGGAAACUGGAAGGCUAGAGUGCGGGAGAGGAGAGUGGAAUUCCCGGUGUAGCGGUGAAAUGCGCAGAUAUCGGGAAGAACACCCGUGGCGAAGGCGGCCAGCUAGACCAGUUCUGACACUGAGGCGCGACAGCGUGGGGAGCAAACAGGG